rnacentral:pre_miRNA from 14 species
CAUACUUGAGGAGAAAUUAUCCUUGGUGUGUUUGCUCUUUUGGAUGAAUCAUACAAGGGUAAUUUCUUUUCGAGUAUC